GGCUGCAAUUGAGGAAAACAGUUGGACACAUGAGACUCAAUUGGUUGUGUAAUUAAAUCAAUUAUUAAUCGCCUGUAACUUUGGCGCUGCCGCGGAGCUGAGCUUUCCAAACGUGCGUCACACCCAUUUCUCUGCCUCAAGACCCGUUUUUAUGCCCAGAGGCAUUACCAACAUCCCGCAUCCGUGACUCAGCAGACCCUGCAGACCCUGCAGACCCCGAGCUGUGAUUCAUACAUUCCAUUAUCUGCCCAUUUGUACGCCAAUGGACUUUUUCUAUGUCCAGAAAUAAUGACGACAUGCAAUCCGAACUCUGAACGGGAAUAAUUGCUCACGUGUCACUUGGUUUUGUCCCAUGGCCCAUUCCUUAUCUCUGAAUCCUCCCACAUAUAUAAAAAUAAAAACUAUAUGACAGCUAAUUAAAUUAAUGUGUAACACCUGGCAUUUCCCUGGGGGCCCUGGAAAUCUAAUUUGGUCACCUCAAAUAUAUCAGUAUAUAAACCACUAAAGCCAAAACAAAGGUCAUGCCGAUUUGCCUUUUUGUGUAGAUAUUAUGAUAGAAAACUAUGUUCAUUUGUGAAAAUUGGUCUUUUAUCUUACGUAAAGCUAUUAAUGAUUUAGAAAGGUUAAAGUUAGUGCAGUACCAAAUGUAUAAAUAGAGUUAUGAGAAACUUGUUCACUGUGAUAUACUGACUUGAUAUUUUCAAAGGCAUAUUGGGCUGUAUUGACUUUUCCCAUUACUUAUGAGCGUAUUAAAUCCAAGUGACACUUUUCCCGUGUUUUCACCAAAUCGAAGGGGGACAAACAGAGGUUAUUUUCCCAUCCAAACCCGAGUGUCAAUGGCAACAGAGGCCGUGGUGCCAGUCACCAGGAAAGGCCCCCUAACACCUAUCCACCCAUUCCCAAAGAAACUUGGUAUCCUUGAUCUACUAACACAUGCCAUCCCCAAAAAAAAGCAUUCGCCAGCGAACUCUGAACCUUGAAAUUUCCAAUUUCCCCCGAAAAAAGUUAACCAACUCGAUUCACUCUCAUUCUUUGGGGCGAACUAAAACGAAAUUGAAUUGCAAAUACUCGCAGUCGUGUAUUGAAAUAGUUUUCGUUGGUUUUUUUUAUUACAUUUUUCUUAUUUUUUUUGUAAGGUAUUUCGAAAUCGUGGGCCAUGUGGCAAACGUGGCAGCAACAACGGCGUUGCAUGCAUACACACAAAGAGUUUUCCGCAUUCGCCGCUAAAAAUAUAUAAACAACAAUGCCCGACCCCGCUACAUUUUCACACAGCUGAAUUUUCCAGCCCGUGCGAAAUCUGAUACCAGAUUUACCCGAGAGCCAUGAGCAAUUAUGAUUAUGAAACCAAACCGGCGUUUAACUUGUCACUCGCAUGUCGCCCGGUUAGCGUUCUGCAUCCUCAGGGGAACGAAGAAAUCCAUAGAUUUGUUUGCUUUUUGAAACAUGAACCGCGCCGAUCUGAACUCUUUGCCAUGCCCCGGGCAUCCAGUUCUAGUUCUUCUUGGGGCUCUGGCCCGGAAAUUACCCUAAACGAAGUUAAUUGUGUGGAUCCGUUUGGCCUACUACCACUUGGAGUGGGGAACACUCCUACGGGCGCGCUGAUGAUGGACUGGCGACAUGAUAUAGUAUUUUAGAGGUCUGGAAAAACGUGUGAAGCGGAGGAUGAAAUUACCAUCUUAGAACACCCUCUGGGAAUGAGUGAGAUCGCUGAUGUCUCGAAAGUAUUUCCACUUUAUAACGCUUCCGAUUCAUAUUAUUCAUCUUAAAAAAUUGGUAAUAGUUUUAUAUCAAUAAAUAAUGAAAUCCUAAAAAUGGCUAACCCUCUGACAAGUCCUAAAAUUUGUAUUUUUGAAUAGAUUUUAACCCUUUUUAUAUAUGCAAUAUUUAAUUAAGGGGUAUUGUUAGCCGCGGAAGGUACAACAAAAGUGUAUUGUGUGACUGUUCUGCUGAGUCAACGGUAAUUGUGGGAUCUAAUAAAUUAUGUUGACUACCGCAAAGCUUAUCUGAAGAAUUUCCUCAGUUUUUCCCAACGACAACAUGCAGAAACGAGAGCAAAAACUAUUUGACCCAAGAUUUCGAAGGGCGAUGAAGUUGGAAAGAGGGGCGCUUGGAAGCAGAAGGCAAAUUAUACCUUUAUUAUUAUGGCUUGCCACAUCUGAUGUUGCAGCUUUGCAUAAAUAUUAUGUUGAAAUGCCUAUGGCAAUGCGGCAACAACAUGCAACAUGUUGCAUGUGCAGCGGCAACAGCUGGCCCAGCAGCUAGCUGCGAAUAAAUUUGUAUCAAGCAACCCUCUCUGCCCACGCCCCUGCAACGCAGUGUUGCAGAAACUUCCGGAAUUGGUGCACAGUGGAAAAAUUAGACGUAUCAUGGUUAAUGUUCUAAUGUGUUUUCCUACUACUUUUUGGGUUUGCAUCUAUACAUUUGGACAUCUAAAAAAGAGAUUUUUCUUAGAGUUACUAUACAGCAAUGAAGUUAGGAAAAAACUUAGACUUCCUGCUUAAAUUAGAGAGCCCUUUACUUAUAACCAGAAACUAAUGUGAGCUACUUUUCAGUGUGUAAUGCUGCUCAAAAGUUGCACGCCAUAGGCGCAACUUAAUUCGAUUUACCCUUGGUUCAGCAAGGGGAAUUAUUGCGGCUGGUCAGAAAGAACCAUUAGAUGAAUUGCAUGCGAUGGCAAUUUUCGGAAUAGUUUCAUGCAUAUGAAAUGUGUUCGAUAUGGGCAGAAAGCUCUUCCCAAUUCCCAGUCGCAUUCGAAUUAAAAAUGUAAAUUGCCACUUGGUCUGCCGCUCCUCACUUGCCACAAAACUGAAAUGUCAACGCUACAUUUUUCAGUGGUUUCCAGACACAAGGACAUGCAUUGAAAUCCUGUUAGCAUUUUCUAUCAGCAAACAUGAUUUGAAUUAUUGCAGACAGCCGAAAAAGCCAAUCGUUGAACUUAAGAGAAAUGAGACAAAAAUGAUGAUGUCUCCAUUAGAGCGGGCUAAUCAGAUUUCCAGUAACAAAAGCUUCAAUUAAUAAACGUCAAUUUGAUGACCCAUAAAAUGGGAAAAUAAAAUCAAAUCCCGAGUCAGAACCAGAGCAAGUUCAAGACAAAGGCCCAAUUUGUUCACCUUCAUCAGCGCCACAUCCAAAUUGAUUUCUAAAUGCCCCUUUACUCCUCCCUUAUAUCACUAUAUGUUUGUGUAUAUAUAUUCCAUAUAUAAAUACCACGGAGCAUUUAUGGGUAAAUGCAAAUUGAAUGUGUCGCAAUCGACUCGGAUACAUUUGUCGAUUUGGGCUCCCAAACUGGGAAUAUCUUUUUUGGGCCGGCGCCAAAUGGCGAGUGCAGAAAGUUCAUGUUAAUUUCAAGGUAAUUGUGGAUUAAUUAUACAUUUAUGUAGUGUUCAUAGCCACUUAUAUGGCUGUAGCUCCAUAAAACACUGUGCCACAUCACUUAAAAGUGAUCUAUAAAAUAAAAUGGUCGCUUAAGCGAUUGCCAAAAAAGAUUACCUCCUUAUGACUUGUAAAAAAGCACAUUUAUCUCACUUUUUAGACUUCUUAGACUUUUCUGACUUUUAUGUGCAUUACGUGGCAGAUAUAGACACGUUCUAAAUCUGGGCUAAUGGUUUCGAUUUCUUUUUGGUCCAAAUUUACAUACCCAGAAAAGAGGGCAUAAAUAUGAUAAGAGAGCCAGCAAACGAAAUAUCAGGUUCAUCAACUUAGACACAGAGUGAGCAUGGCAUUAACCCAUAUAGGAAGAUACUUUGGGAUCCAUGAGAUCGACUAUUGAGCGUAUCUGAAAAGUUCAUUCAAGCCGGAAUUUUCACAUACGAGUAUACGGGGGAAAAGUGAAAUGUGACGGCUUUAUGCUAAGAAGCCUACUUUUGUACCGCUCACAAAGGGGCAUCGUUUGUUUAUGCAAAUGCUUUAUGAUUCGCGGGCCGUGAAAUCCCCUGGAAAAAAACCCAAAAAAAGAAUGGAGAAAAUUGGGAACAAAAUAAGCUGAAACCAGUUUAUGAAAUCUUGAACAGAAAGAAACUUAGGCCCAAAAUUCAUUGAUAUCGCCCGCUCUCAGUUCCUGCUAUCAGAUUCGGUGUGCCACUAUUAAUUUAUAUUGUAAAUAUAUUGUUUAUUAAUACAGCGCUGUACAAAGGUGGGCUUAUCAGCCAGACAAAAAAACAUCGAAUGCGUAUUUAACAAUAUACUAUAUGAGUUGCUGUCGCAUUUGAAUAAGCCGAUGUAUUGCAUAAACAAUCUUGAUAAGCCGAUGAGUCAGGCAAUGUGCACAUUAAAGUCGAACAUCCUUCUAAUUUAAAUAUGUAUAUUUGCGUGCUAUUUUUGACAUUCUAGCACCUCUUCUAGCUUCUGAUUGAUGGGUGCCCACCUCUUUAGACACACGUCUGUCUUUUGAUAAUUGCACCGUGAUUUUACGGACUGCGAUCGCUCGUUAAUUCGUAAAGAAUAUAGAAGUCAAGCGCCUGUUUUGCACAUAAAAGCCGAGAAUUUAACUAAAAUACGAAUUAAUCAGCACUUUGCUCAUACAUUCAGGUAGAAAAAGAAGUCGUUGCGACUGAAAUAAAACUUGUUGGAUUCAAAGUCCUCGAGUUGCGGCAACUUUAAAUAAAUAAAAUAAAUGUUUCACAGUAAAAACCCAACGAAUUGGCUGGUCAAAAAAAAAAGUUAAAUAAAAAGUUAAAAACUUUUCACGGCACAUUAACAAAUUGUUGAGUCGCAAAAAGUUCUGACCAAGUUGAAACUCUCGGAUUUUCAGAUUCUCAGAUUGAGCAAUCAGUCAGUUUGGAAUGUGUGUGGUGACUCAUUUUCGGGAGAAGCCCCUUUUCAGACAGUUUUUGAUUACCCAAAUGGGGUUACAAGCCGCACAAAGCAAAAAAUGACCAAAAAAGAGGCUUCGAGUGCGGCAGCCUUAUGGCUAAAUAAUUACAAGUGAAAAAAACCCACACCUACGAUAUUCGCGAGCAGUUGGGCCAGUAGGCAAGUGGCCAUUAGGUCUUUAGGUGGGCAGUGGCCAACUGGCCAAGUAGCCGCCUCCGAGGUCGUUGACCCCCAAGGAGGACGACCCGGGGGCCUGGAGAUGGCCAUCUCAUAUUCGGACUGCUUACUGGGCAGUUGCCAAAAGCGAAUUGUCAUGGAAAAAUGAUACACAGCAUUAUUUGGCAGGGCCAACAAAAAAGAAAAAAAAACCGAAAAAAACGAAAAGUUUUCCAGCAUAAAUUACCUUUGGCAAAUGUUUGCGCACUUCGGUCGCGAGUUCUCCGUAUUCCUAACUCCGGAUAAACUCAACUGCGACGGGGCGGUCUACUUGACAUGGUUUUCGAGGCGGAAAAAAUCAAAUAAAAUACAAUGGGCUAAACUGUUCUUGCGAGCAUCGUAUUUGCUGGCUAAUUCAUUGUUUACGCAAUGUUUUUGUCGUUCUUGGCUCACUGCGAAGUUGCGUCACGAACUAUGGGAAAAUGUUCGACUAGGUGUGAGAAAUCUCGCUGAGUGAUGGUCGCAAGUGGAAUAAAAGUUUUGCCACUUAUAAAUAGAUGUCAUUCCGAGUCAUCGUGUCCAACGGAUUGACCGAAAUUUCGCAAAGGUGGCCGAAAAUAGAUAUUGUGGAAAUAUUUAGAGAAUCUCUAAUGGCGCUGGUGCAAUGCGAAAAUUUCAGUCCAUACAAUAUAAACAUUCAUUGUGUAUAUUACGAACAUAUUUCGGAAGUUCAUUACAAUUUAGGGAAAACCCCUUAAGUAGUAAGUUUUCCUAGUAUCAAGAGCCCACAAAAUAGCAUCCGCUGUCCAUAUAUACAUAUUCUUAGAAGCCCCCAUUGUUAUCUUUCGAUUUCCUGUUAAUGUUUAUUGGGUAGUCCCGCCAUUGUUUACCUCGUAGUUGUGCUGUACCCCAUGGAUGAAACCCCCAUCUGAACACGCAUCGCCCCCGUUUAACUUCCUUAUAGAGAGAACUCCGCUUCGGCUAUCAGAUGUGCCCGAACUCAAGGUCCCACUCCAGAAAUCCAGAAAUCGGGGAAAUCGAUAAUGUGAGCACACACCGCACCGCACGCAUUUCAAAGUCACAAAAGGUGUGGAUAAGAAUGAGGUUUGCUGGGGGUGGAUUCCUAUCGCGGGGCUCUGAAGGCGGGGAAAAAAGAGCAAUCAACAAAUAUGUGCACUUGCAUAUUUACGUCUGGCUGCGUGUCAAUACUGAAAUGUCUGUGAAUAACAGAGGCAAAUAUGUGUGUAAGUGAUAAAUCGAGCAAUAGGAACCCAAUAGGAACCUUAGUAGGAGGGGUGGUGGUGAAAAUCACGGAAACCACACGCAAAAUGCACACAGCCAGUCAAGUUCAUUGUACACUUGUGUUUAUGAUUACGCUGGUAAUGGAUCCACUAUGGUAUCCAAAGUUCUUGGGCACUGCCAAAGUCAUAAAAUCAUCAAACAAAUGGGUCCGCACCGCGUUAGUCAGCUGCACUGUGAGAAACGGGGUUCAGUUAAGUCAUGCAUAAACUAUUUUUCAGUACAUCAGGAGCCUCCACUGUAAUAAUACUUCAAAUAAUACUGCUAUAAAUGCUAUAUUUAUAUAUUCCCAUUAUUGUUUGAAGCCAUUUGUAAGAAUAUCAUUACUAUAUAAUUAGAAAGUUUGUGUAGAGCAUAAACCAUAUUCACAUAGCAUUUUUUUAUAGUUCGCUUUUAUGCACACACUUCAUAAAAGAUGCAACCAGCUGCGAGCACAGGCACAAUGGAACCCCUCUAUUAAUAUACAACGCACAUACGAGUACAUCGGGGCACACAGAUAUGUACAUGGGGCUAUAUACUCGUAGUUGUGUUUAUAAGUGCGGCUUUAUGGCAGCAAUCACAUUACACAUACGCCAUGUCGGCCGCCGUCGAUUGUCAACUGUCCGCAGUGGGUUAGAGUUCAAUGAUUGCACGAUUCCAUGUCUCCAUGUACAUACGUAUACGAGUAUCUCCGCUACUCCAGUGAUUCUGAUUUUGAAGGAAUCUGCAGUGCAACUACAACUUGCUACUGAUUGGAAGCCAUGCUGCAAGUUAUUUAUGAAUUCAAAUGUAUUCAACUGUUCUAACCGCUCAUGCGCCAUAACUUCCAAUUAAAGGCGUUAUUAAUAUGAAUUUAUAGUGAGUAUUUAUACUUCCGUUUCGAAUUACGAAUUUAACUGCUUAAUCCCAUGGCUUAUAAGCACAUUCAAAUGUCCAUAGUCAUUUAUCAUGGUUUUUGCAUUAGCCAUAAAUCGCUUAAAUGGUGAGAUGCAGUUCAUUCAGUCGAACACUCCCAAACAAAAGGCUCUGCCAAAAUGGAUUUAUCUGUCAUAUAUCACUCUUUUUCUACCUGCUACACAUACGCGCCUUCCGUUAGAUUUUAAUUUCGAACGAGCUUUCAAAACAUUUCCGUUGCCAGAUAUAAUUUGGUGUAUCUCCAGAUAGCAUUAUGCCAAACACGUAGGAACACAAAGCAAAGCGGCAACACGGCCAAAAAUAGCUUAUUAAUCUUUUUGACGAAAUCGGCAGAACGAUACAUUUGAGACGUUACGUUUGCUCUGCGAGAUAAAUGUGUAUAAAUGUGUAUAUUUUUUCCGUUGAAUUUGAAACGUUCUUUGUUAUUCUUGGGGUUAUUCUUAGACGGCCCAGGAUGUUUGCAAAUGCCCAGUGGUUUGAUGUUUGCUUUCGUCUAUGAAUUAUGGUCGCUUGGCAUUUAGCACAGCAUUCGCUGGGGUUCAAGUUCAUCUGGUGAUCUAUAGCCGCGAUGGGGAAACUUCUUGGGGCGACCUUCGCGGCAGACAAAGCGCUAAUCUGCAAUCUGCCAGCUGAGCUCGUGGCUGAGUAAACAAACAAGCAGCUGAGCCAGUAUCUCAAAAUCGAUUUUCUACCCAGUCUCGAGUUGCGCCAGACAAUGGAACCGAAGACCCACUACGGAUACACCCGCAAAAAACGUGCGUAAUGAGUUGAAGAUACAUUUGCCUAUCGGUAUCGUUAACUGUAUCUGUAGCUGUAUCCGUAUCUGCAUCUGUAUCUCUGACCGUUCAGCUGCAGCUUUGACACGCUUCUGAGCACCCUGUAAACACAUAUCGAUUGAGGAGAAAAAGCGAAAAAAUAGAAGAUAGUGUAGCGAAAUAUGUAAGCAUGUCAGAAUCAAGCGACGUGUGUCCAAUACCCAAUGUACAUAUCUUGUAUCUGUAUCUGUAUCUGGUGGCGUGUUUGUUUUUUUCUGCACGGUGCACAGUGAUUAGACACAGGCGGCCGCAAAAUGUUAUGACUGCGAAUAAAACCAGGUUACAAAACGCAGCAGACACAACAUAAAAGAAAUUACGGCUGUCGACACACAUUAUGCUGCCAUAAACUAGCACCAGCAUCCAAUACUACACACCACACACAACACACCACACACCGCACACCACUUCUGGGGGCCGAGGAAAAGCGAGUCUGCGAUUGAUAAAAAGUCAAUUAAGGUGGAUUGCAUUCUUGCCCUCUGGAGUUGGGUUACUCUGGCCAAGGGAUUCUCAUUCAGCGAAAUGUUUGACAGUACACUGAAAACUACCCCGAAUUAUGUUCUAUUUUAUACUAUAAUUUUUCAAAGUGAAACAAUUCCAAUAGAAAGAUACUUAGUUUGGCAUAAUAUAGUGAUAUUUGGCCUAGUUUUAACUUCUAAAAGCGGUAGAUAUUAUAUUAAAAUAGAUAUGUUAAUACCUUGUAAGAAUGUAUUGUUGGUAUGCAUAUGAUUUAAGAUUAUAAUAUGUGAGAAUACAAAUUAAGGAGCUUUAAA